rnacentral:rRNA from 1 species
CUCCUGGGAAGUCCUCGUGUUGCACCCGGGUGCGAUCAUACCAA